UCCCAGCAGAAGUUCCCAGCUCUCUCCCGGCCAACAGAGGCGGCCCAGCCAGGAGAGUAAAGAAUUGCAGAUGUGCACUCAGGGCUGCGGCCACCCUCCCCACCGCCCCGCAGCCAAGCGGGACAGCACUGGGCCGCCGCGGGAAUCCGACGCCCGGCCCCGCUCCUCGCCCGGGACUCCCUCUGGUAGCUUCGGGCCAAGGUUCGGGCAGUGACUGCCUCUUCCCCACGCAAAGAGGAGGCAACAUCGCACCAACCCUUCUGGGGAGGAGAGGUUCAUAUGGGGUCGCGAGGAGGACGCGCAGGCACUGCCCCAGAACACUGACGCCGCGAGGGCGACCCGGUGGGCUGCGGGGACGGUAGGGCGGGGUCGCCUCUCCUCUCCUCGGUGGGCGCGACGGGCUUAGACGGGAUGGGCGCCCCGCACCCAGAUGCGCCGGCCUGCGCGUGUCUGUCUUUGUGAGCGACUGGGAGAAGUGGAGAAAAGCGGCUUCGGUGAGCAUAAGGGAUCUCCUCUGGGAUCAGCUCUGGGUCCUAGCCUGGCUCCUGUGGCUUCCCCCACCCCGACUCCCCAAGUUUCCUGAUACAAGACUCAAGAGGAGGCUGCAGACGCAGAGACCUUGGCAGGGUAGCAGGGUGUGUCAUUAGAAUGGAGGUGGUAUCUGUGAGCCAGGGAGGUGGCUUGGAGGGCCUUGGAGCCGUCUUGGUGACACACGGGAAGCUUCCCACCCUGAAAACUGGAAGCCAGUUCUUGACAAAAUUUUGAAGAUGAACAUAGAGACCAGUUCAAAACUUGGAACUUGUAGGCCCUGAAACAGAGAAGGCCCCUGGUCUGAGAACUGCUUGCUCUCUUCCAGUGUAGCUGAUGGCUGGGCCAAGCCCCUCCUUCCCUGGUGGGGAGCCACAGUAUGGCCCUCAGUCUUUUCCUGGAGGAAGAAAAGAAACUUUGUUUCAGGGGAAAGAACCAUUUCCCAAAGGAAAACCAGGAGGAUGCUGUCAUCAUGGAAGGAAGAGCAGAGAUAAAGAGUUGGGUUCUCGGUGAUAAUUGAGCAGCUGGAACAAGUCUCACCUGAAGUCCACCCUGAGCUUUUCAGGAGCCAAAAAUGGGCCAUGGCAGGAAGCAGGGUGUGCAGGAAGCUGGAUGAAGCAGAAGCUCUCACUAAGAAGUGGAGGGUAGAGCCAGCACUACUGGGAAACACCUGGCAAGGGAGAAGAAAUCUUCUUGGUGAGGAUCAACACCACAACUAGAAGGGGGCAGUAUCUCUGUGCAGAUGCAGAAUGGAAUGAUCUCCCAGCCAAAAGCAUGUGUGAGGCAUCUAGGGUUGGGAUAGGAGAGAGCAGCCCCCAGCCACUCAGGCUUCAGAGAAAAGGCAUCUCUGUCUUGUGGUUUUGAACACCGAAAGCAAGACAUAGGAAGCUCAAAGAGGGCACAUAGGGCAGUCUCCAUUCUGCCACGGGCCAAGCUUCCUGGGCCCAGCAGCUCUGGCUGCAGAUGACCAACCUUGCUGUCCUGGGCCUCAGGGCUGGGCUGUCAAUUUUGGGCAACUGUUCCCCUAAUGGAAUGCCGGUCACACCGAAAAGAGGCUGGGAUUUUAGGGAAGUGCCCACUGCAGAGAUAGGGGCACUGGCCUUGGUUCAGGGGCUGGUUGGCCAGAACCUGGGCACAAGAGGGUCUUGAUUUGAAGACAUCUGUGGCCUUUAGGUCCCAAAAAGAUUAGGUUUCAGAUGUCUGGGGCAAUCCCCUAAUGAUGACAGGUGUCUUGUACAGCCCAAUGGUGCCCAAAAUGGCGUGGAUGAUGCCCACAUGCAUCCUCAUGUGGGUUACAUGAUACCCUCUCUACAAAAUAAUACAAAAAUUAGUCAGGUGUGGGGAUGUGCCCUUGUAGUCCCAGCUA